AUCUUUGGUCCAGUGCGGUGGCGGCGGCGGCGGUGGCGGCGGCGACUGCUGCGGUGAAGGAGGAGGAGGAGCCGAGCGGGCGCUGGCACCGAGGCCUGACCAUGGACGAGGAAUACGAUGUGAUCGUGCUGGGGACCGGCCUCACCGAAUGCAUCCUGUCGGGCAUCAUGUCUGUGAACGGGAAGAAGGUGCUGCACAUGGACCGGAACCCCUACUACGGGGGCGAGAGCUCCUCCAUCACACCCCUAGAGGAGCUGUAUAAGCGUUUUCAGUUGCUGGAGGGGCCCCCUGAGUCGAUGGGCCGAGGCCGAGACUGGAACGUUGACCUGAUUCCCAAAUUCCUCAUGGCUAACGGACAGCUGGUAAAGAUGCUACUGUAUACAGAGGUGACUCGCUACCUGGACUUCAAGGUGGUGGAGGGCAGCUUUGUCUACAAGGGGGGCAAGAUCUACAAAGUGCCGUCCACUGAGACUGAGGCCUUGGCUUCCAGUGAGUGUGGGCCCCCUGAGCCAGAGAAAUCAUGGGGUGGCAGGGAAGCCAACUGUCUUUGGGAUGGGUGGCUGUCCAGAAUAAGGCACCCCCUUGUCCAAAGUCACAUUU
rnacentral:sRNA from 1 species